AUGUACCGGGGCUAAACAUAUUACCGAAACUGUGGAUGAACCUCUUUAGAGGUUCGUGGUAGGAGAGCGUUCUAAGGGCGGUGAAGUCAGACCGGAAGGACUGGUGGAGCGCUUAGAAGUGAGAAUGCCGGUAUGAGUAGCGAAAGAAGGGUGAGAAUCCCUUCCACCGAAUAUCUAAGGUUUCCUGAGGAAGGCUCGUCCGCUCAGGGUUAGUCGGGACCUAAGCCGAGGCCGAUAGGCGUAGGCGAUGGACAACAGGUAGAGAUUCCUGUACCAGUGCUAAUUGUUUAACCGAUGGGGUGACACAGAAGGAUAGGGAAUCGCACGAAUGGAAAUGUGCGUCCAAGCAGUGAGUGUGAG
rnacentral:rRNA from 1 species